AGGACGAACGCUGGCGGCGUGCUUAACACAUGCAAGUCGAGCGGUAAGGCCUCUUCGGGGGUACACGAGCGGCGAACGGGUGAGUAACACGUGAGUAAUCUGCCCUUCACUUCGGGAUAAGCUUCGGAAACGGGGUCUAAUACCGGAUACGACACUUUCAGGCAUCUGAUGAGUGUGGAAAGUUUUUUCGGUGGGGGAUGUGCUCGCGGCCUAUCAGCUUGUUGGUGGGGUAAUGGCCUACCAAGGCUUCGACGGGUAGCCGGCCUGAGAGGGUGACCGGCCACACUGGGACUGAGACACGGCCCAGACUCCUACGGGAGGCAGCAGUGGGGAAUAUUGGACAAUGGGCGGAAGCCUGAUCCAGCAACGCCGCGUGAGGGAUGACGGCCUUCGGGUUGUAACCUCUUUCAGUACCGAC
rnacentral:rRNA from 1 species